rnacentral:rRNA from 1 species
UCAGUUCGGACUGCAGGCUGCAACUCGCCUGCACGAAGUUGGAAUUGCUAGUAAUCGUGGAUCAGCAUGCCACGGUGAAUACGUUCCCGGGUCUUGUACACACCGCCCGUCACACCAUGGGAGCCGGUAAUACCCGAAGUCAGUAGUCUAACCGCAAGGAGGACGCUGCCGAAGGUAGGAUUGGCGACUGGGGUGAAGUCGUAACAAGGUAUC